rnacentral:tRNA from 1 species
CAAUUAAUAGUUUAAAGAAAAUAGUAAUUUUGGAGAUUACAGAUAUUUGUAUAAAAUUUAAUUGA